rnacentral:rRNA from 1 species
AACUACGGCCAUGCCACCCUGAACACGCCCGAUCUUGUCUGAUCUUAGAAGCUAAGCAGAGUUGGGCCUGGUUAGUACUUGGAUGGGAGACCACCUAGGAAGACCAGGUGCUGUAGGCU